CCACAGGCUAUUGCGUUAGAUACAGGCGAGUGAGCGGCAAAAGCUCAAAUUUGAAAUCUGGCACCUUCGGUGUCCGAGUUGUAAUUUGAAGAAGGUAACUUUGGAGUUGGCUCUUGUCUAUGUUCCUUGGAACAGGACGUCACAGAGGGUGAGAAUCCCGUGCGAUGAGAUGCCCAAUUCUAUGUAAAGUGCUUUCGAAGAGUCGAGUUGUUUGGGAAUGCAGCUCUAAGUGGGUGGUAAAUUCCAUCUAAAGCUAAAUAUUGGCGAGAGACCGAUAGCGAACAAGUACAGUGAUGGAAAGAUGAAAAGAACUUUGAAAAGAGAGUGAAAAAGUACGUGAAAUUGUUGAAAGGGAAGGGCUUGAGAUCAGACUUGGUAUUUUGCGAUCCUUUCCUUCUUGGUUGGGUUCCUCGCAGCUUACUGGGCCAGCAUCGGUUUGGAUGGUAGGAUAAUGACUAAGGAAUGUGGCUCUACUUCGGUGGAGUGUUAUAGCCUUGGUUGAUACUGCCUGUCUAGACCGAGGACUGCGUCUUUUGACUAGGAUGUUGGCAUAAUGAUCUUAAUCCACCCCCCUU
rnacentral:rRNA from 1 species